AGAGUUUGAUCCUGGCUCAGGAUGAACGCUGGCGGCGUGCCUAAUACAUGCAAGUCGAGCGAACGGACGAGAAGCUUGCUUCUCUGAUGUUAGCGGCGGACGGGUGAGUAACACGUGGAUAACCUACCUAUAAGACUGGGAUAACUUCGGGAAACCGGAGCUAAUACCGGAUAAUAUUUUGAACCGCAUGGUUCAAAAGUGAAAGACGGUCUUGCUGUCACUUAUAGAUGGAUCCGCGCUGCAUUAGCUAGUUGGUAAGGUAACGGCUUACCAAGGCAACGAUGCAUAGCCGACCUGAGAGGGUGAUCGGCCACACUGGAACUGAGACACGGUCCAGACUCCUACGGGAGGCAGCAGUAGGGAAUCUUCCGCAAUGGGCGAAAGCCUGACGGAGCAACGCCGCGUGAGUGAUGAAGGUCUUCGGAUCGUAAAACUCUGUUAUUAGGGAAGAACAUAUGUGUAAGUAACUGUGCACAUUUUGACGGUACCUAAUCAGAAAGCCACGGCUAA
rnacentral:rRNA from 1 species